CCGGGAUUCAAAUCCAUAUCCCAUGCUCAUAAGCAGCAUACAUUUGUACUCUAUUGCCUCACAGCUAACUGUGGUUGAGUUAGCAGAACAGAGAACACAGAGAUCACUUCUAAUGGAUGGGAGAGCAGGUGGUGAUCAAGGAUUAUUCCCUUCCCAAGAUGGCGUCUGCGCAGAAGUUUACAGGAGGAUUGGGAGUUCCAUGAAUGAAGACUGGAGAGGUUAUCUCAGGCUAAAGGAAAGGCAUGUGCUAAGGCAUGAAGUAUUGGCUCCCAAUGGAAGAAUCCUUGACUUCUCUCUCCCCAC
rnacentral:lncRNA from 1 species